rnacentral:tRNA from 1 species
GGGGCCAUAGCUCAGCUGGGAGAGCGCAUGCUUUGCACGCAGGAGGUCAGGAGUUCGAUCCUCCUUGGCUCCACCA